UACGAAGGGUGCAAGCGUUACUCGGAAUUACUGGGCGUAAAGCGUGCGUAGGUGGUUCGUUAAGUCUGUCGUGAAAGCCCCGGGCUCAACCUGGGAAUGGCGAUGGAUACUGGCGGGCUAGAGUGCGGUAGAGGAGAGUGGAAUUCCCGGUGUAGCAGUGAAAUGCGUAGAGAUCGGGAGGAACAUCAGUUGCGAAGGCGGCUCUCUGGACCAGCACUGACACUGAGGCACGGAAGCGUGGGGAGCAAACAGG
rnacentral:rRNA from 1 species